UGGAAUUGUUGGCAGGACAGGUAGUGGGAAAACAACUCUUAUCAGUGCCUUGUUUCGCUUGGUAGAACCAACAGAAGGAAUGAUCAUCAUAGAUGGCAUAAACAUCUCAACAAUCGGGAUUCAUGAUCUUCGAUCUUCUUUAUCAAUCAUUCCACAAGAUCCCACGCUUUUUAGCGGAACUGUCAGAUACAAUCUUGAUCCACUGUCAGAGCACACUGAUCAGGAGAUAUGGGAGGUUUUGAGGAAAUGUCA
rnacentral:misc_RNA from 1 species